UCUCUACAGGUUUAUUCAAACCUUGAAGGUGACAGGUCUCAUAUAGUAAAUACUGGAUGGGCUAUGUUGGCUCUUAUUGAUGCUGGACAGGCCAAUAGAGAUCCAACACCGUUGCAUCGCGCUGCAAGAUAUUUGAUAAAUUCCCAAAUGCAGAAUGGAGAUUUUCCACAGGAGGAGAUCAUGGGAGUGUUCAAUAGAAAUUGUAUGAUCACUUAUGCUGCAUAUAGAAACAUUUUCCCUAUUUGGGCAUUGGGAGAGUACCGUUGUCGUAUAU